rnacentral:rRNA from 1 species
CCUACGGGAGGCUGCAGUGAGGAAUAUUGGUCAAUGGACGAGAGUCUGAACCAGCCAAGUAGCGUGAAGGAUGACUGCCCUAUGGGUUGUAAACUUCUUUUAUAAGGGAAUAAAACGAGGCACGUGUGCCUUUUUGCAUGUACUUUAUGAAUAAGGAUCGGCUAACUCCGUGCCAGCAGCCGCGGUAAUACGGAGGAUCCGAGCGUUAUCCGGAUUUAUUUGGUUUAAAGGGAGCGUAGAUGGGUUGUUAAGUCAGUUGUGAAAGUUUGCGGCUCAACCGUAAAAUUGCAAUUGAUACUGGCAGUCUUGAGUACAGUUGAGGUAGGCGGAAUUCGUGGUGUAGAGGUGAAAUGCUUAGAUAUCACGAAGAACUCCGAUUGCGAAGGCAGCUUACUAAACUGCAACUGACAUUGAUGCUCGAAAGUGUGGGUAUCAAACAGGAUUAGAUACCCCAGUAGUC